rfam:Schistosoma haematobium scaffold1185_5, whole genome shotgun sequence.
AUCCAGCUGACGAGUCCCAAAUAGGAGUAAACGUGCGUCCUGGAU